GCUUGUAGCAAUUGAAUAAAAUAUAUCCCUGUGAACAAAAUUUGGAACAUACCUGAUUUCUCCAAAAUUUGGAAGCUAUUUAACCCAGCAUGCAAUGCUUGUCAACCCUUCACCAGCACUUUGGGAAGCCCAGGCAGGAGGAUCACUUGAGCCCAGGAGGUUGAGGCUGCAGCGAGCUAUGAUUGCACCACUGCACUCCAGCCUGUGUGACAGAACACGACCCUGUCUCUAAGAAAAUUUUAAAAAUCUACUAAAAGAGGCCGGGCACGGUGGCUCAUGCCUGUAAUCCUAGCACUUUGGGAGGCCCAGGCGGGCGGAUCACCUGAGGUCAGGAGCUCAAGACUGGCCUGACCAAAAUGGCGAAACCCUGUCUCUACUGAAAAUAUGAAAAAAUUAGCUGAGCGUGGUGAUGGGCACCUGUAAUCCCAGCUACUUGGGAGGCUGAGGCAGGAGAAUCGUUUGAACCUGGGAGGCAGAGGUUGCAGAGAGCCAAGAUCACACCACUGCUCUCCAGCCUGGGCAACAGAGUGAGAUUCUGCCUCAAAAUAAAUAAAUAAAUAAAUAAA
rnacentral:lncRNA from 1 species